rnacentral:rRNA from 1 species
GAGGAAUAUUGCGCAAUGGGGGAAACCCUGACGCAGCGACGCCGUGUGAGCGAUGAAGGCCUUCGGGUUGUAAAGCUCUGUCAGAGGGGAAGAAAGGGGAUAUGGUUAAUACCCAUGUCCAUUGACGGUACCCUUUGAGGAAGCACCGGCUAACUCCGUGCCAGCAGCCGCGGUAAUACGGAGGGUGCGAGUGUUAUUCGGAAUCACUGCGCGUAAAGAGCACGUAGGCGGAUCGGUAAGUCAGAUGUGAAAUCCCGGGGCUCAACUCCGGAACUGCAUUUGAUACUGCUGGUCUUGAGUGAGGUAGAGGGGGGUGGAAUUCCCGGUGUAGAGGUGAAAUACGUAGAUAUCGGGAGGAACACCAGAGGCGAAGGCGACCCCCUGGGCCUCUACUGACGCUGAGGUGCGAAAGCGUGGGGAGCAAAC